rnacentral:lncRNA from 1 species
UGACAAUUCAUUGAAUACUUUGCAGUUUAGAAUAGUCCAAUGAAAAGUUCUGUUUUACUCCGGAGUUGCUGGCAUGGGACACUGUCGGCAUUGGGAUGAGAUCAGUCAGAUUCGAAUUAGUAGAGUUCGAUGGUUGGUAUUUACUUCCCUUUUUCUUCAGAUAUUAGUAGAAAUGAUAUGGAAUAAAAUGGUGCAGAUGAGGAGAACAGAAACUAACAGAGCUAACACAUCAGUAAAGAACAGGAUGUGUCACCUUCACUAUUAUUUCAACCAACUGAUCAUCUCUUAAAGUUCUCACGCUGACUUUUAUAUCAGUUCUAGUGAUUUAACCUUAUGCCUCCAUUGGAGAAAAAUGAGAUCAUUAAUUUUGAAUAUUUGUUCUCACAUGAAACUUGUGUUUAUAGUUAACAUGAUUUAAUU